ACUGAAACUUAGCCUUUUGGCUAAGAUCAAGUGUAGUAUCCGUUCUUAUCAGUUUAAUAGCUGAUGUUCCCUACUUGUAAUGUACUAAGUUUUAUUCUGAUCCCUUAUGAGUGCCAGGAUGAAAUACUUACUGGGUUGAUAGGCCUCAUUUUAAAAUGUAAUUACAGGCAUUAGCAGAUUAAU